rnacentral:rRNA from 1 species
UAGUUGGUGGGGUAAUGGCCUACCAAGCCUACGAUCUAUAGCUGGUCUGAGAGGAUGAUCAGCCACAUUGGGACUGAGACACGGCCCAAACUCCUACGGGAGGCAGCAGUGGGGAAUCUUGCACAAUGGGCGAAAGCCUGAUGCAGCCAUGCCGCGUGAAUGAUGAAGGCCUUAGGGUUGUAAAAUUCUUUCGCUAGGGACGAUAAUGACGGUACCUAGUAAAGAAGCCCCGGCUAACUUCGUGCCAGCAGCCGCGGUAAUACGAAGGGGGCUAGCGUUGUUCGGAAUUACUGGGCGUAAAGCGCGCGUAGGCGGAUUAACAAGUUGGAUGUGAAAUCCCAAUGCUCAACAUUGGAACUGCAUUCAAAACUGUUAGUCUAGAGGCCAGGAGAGGUCAGUGGAAUACCGAGUGUAGAGGUGAAAUUCGUAGAUAUUCGGUGGAACACCAGUGGCGAAGGCGACUGACUGGACUGGUACUGACGCUGAGGUGCGAAAGUGUGGGGAGCAAACAGGAUUAGAUACCCUGGUAGUCCACACCGUAAACGAUGAGUGCUAGUUGUCUGCAGGCAUGCCUGUAGGUGACGCAGCUAACGCAUUAAGCACUCCGCCUGGGGAGUACGGUCGCAAGAUUAAAACUCAAAGAAAUUGACGGGGGCCCGCACAAGCGGUGGAGCAUGUGGUUUAAUUCGAAGCAACGCGCAGAACCUUACCCACGUUUGACAUGCCCUGUUUGGUUAGUGGAGACACUUUCCUUGGUUCGUCCGCAGGUGCACAGGUGCUGCAUGGCUGUCGUCAGCUCGUGUCGUGAGAUGUUGGGUUAAGUCCCGCAACGAGCGCAACCCUCACCCUUAGUUGCCAGCAGGUUAGGCUGGGCACUCUAGGGGAACUGCCGGUGGCAAGCCGGAGGAAGGUGGGGAUGACGUCAAGUCCUCAUGGCCCUUACGCGUGGGGCUACACACGUGCUACAAUGGUAGUGACAGUGGGAUAAUCCCAAAAAGCUAUCUCAGUUCGGAUUGUCGUCUGCAACUCGACGGCAUGAAGUUGGAAUCGCUAGUAAUCGUGGAUCAGCAUGCCACGGUGAAUACGUUCCCGGGCCUUGUACACACCGCCCGUCACAUCAUGGGAGUUGGUUCUACCCGAAGACUGUGCGCUAACUUCGGAGGCAG